rnacentral:rRNA from 1 species
UGAGGAAUAUUGGGCAAUGCCCGCAAGGGUGACCCAGCAACGCCGCGUGGAGGAUGAAUGUCGUAAGAUUGUAAACUCCUGUUAGAGGGGAAGAAUAGUACCGGUUGGACCGGUAUAUGACUGUACCCUCAGAGAAAGCCCCGGCUAACUACGUGCCAGCAGCCGCGGUAAUACGUGGGGGGCAAGCGUUGUCCGGAUUUACUGGGUGUAAAGGGCGCGCAGGCGGGAUAAAAAGUCAGUGGUGAAAUCCUACAGCUUAACUGUAGAACUGCCUUUGAUACUUUUAUUCUUGAGUUCGGGAGAGAGAGACGGAAUUCCAGGUGUAGUGGUGAAAUACGUAGAUAUCUGGAAGAACACCAGUUGCGAAGGCGGUCUCUUGGUCCGACACUGACGCUGAGGCGCGGAAGCGUGGGGAGCAAACA